GUAGAGAUGGCAUCUCACUAUGUUGCCCACACUGGUCUCGAACUCCUGGCCUCAAGUCACCCUCCCACCUCAGCUUCUCAAAGUGCUGGAAUUACAGGCAUGAGCCACAGCGCCCAGCUGGUAUGUUUUUAAAACCAGAAACCUUAUUCUGGGGGAAGCAAGCUGCACAUGUUGUGAGCAGCCUCAUGGAGAGGCCAAUGUGGCAAGGAACUGAUGUCUCUAGCCAACAAGCAACAAGGACAUAAGGCCUGACAACAACCAAGUAAGAGAACUUAGAAGUGGAUCUUUGGAGUCCUAACAACAAUUGUGUGAGUGACCUUGAAAGUGGACCCUCCCAUCACUUGAGGUCAAGAGUUUGAGACUAGCCUAGCCAAUAUGGUGAAACCCUGGCUCUACUAAAAAAUACAAAAAUUAGCCAGUCGUGGUGGUGCAUGCCUGUAGUCCCAGCUACUUGGGAGGUUGAGGCAGGAGAAUGGCUAGAACCCUGGAGGUGGAGGUUGCAGUGAGCCGAGAUCAUGCCACUGGGCUCCAGCCUGGGUGACAGAGUGAGAGUUCAUCUCAAAAAAAAAAAAAAAAAGAGAGAGAGAGAGAAAGUGGAUCCUCCCAAUUGAGACGAGAUGACUGCAUUUUGGCCAACAUGUUAAUUGAGGCUUUGUGAGAGACCCUGAGUUAAAAUGACCCAGCUAAGCUACUCCCAGAUUCCUGAUAAUAAGAAACUCUGAGACAAAUGUGUGCUAUUUUUCAACCACUAAGCCAUGGGGUAAUUUUUUAUACAGCAAUAGAUCACUAAUACAGAUUUUGGUAAUGAAAGUGUGGUGCUGUUUUAACAGACACCUAAAAUGUAAAAGUGGCUUUGGAACCAGACAGUGAGUGGGCUUUGGGUAAAAUAUUAGCUAACACUUAACAUGCUUUGAACAUAUUGUGGAGAAUUUUGUACUUUGAGGAUACAGCAGGUGUGGGCUUGUAGGAAAGCAAGAAAAGUCUUACUGGAAACUGAUUACAAAGCAAUAAAUGACAAAUACAGCCAUCUAUGACACAGAGAUUCUCUGAAGAUUAAAUGACUUCAUGCAUGAAAACGUUCAGCAUAAUGCCUAGUACAUAGUGAUCCACUCAAUAAAUAAUAUAAAAUAU
rnacentral:lncRNA from 10 species